rnacentral:rRNA from 1 species
CCUACGGGAGGCAGCAGUGAGGAAUAUUGGUCAAUGGACGAGAGUCUGAACCAGCCAAGUAGCGUGAAGGAUGACUGCCCUAUGGGUUGUAAACUUCUUUUAUAUGGGAAUAAAACGUUCCACGUGUGGGAUUUUGUAUGUACCAUAUGAAUAAGGAUCGGCUAACUCCGUGCCAGCAGCCGCGGUAAUACGGAGGAUCCGGGCGUUAUCCGGAUUUAUUGGGUUUAAAGGGAGCGUAGGUGGAUUGUUAAGUCAGUUGUGAAAGUUUGCGGCUCAACCGUAAAAUUGCAGUUGAAACUGGCAGUCUUGAGUACAGUAGAGGUGGGCGGAAUUCGUGGUGUAGCGGUGAAAUGCUUAGAUAUCACGAAGAACUCCGAUUGCGAAGGCAGUUCACUGGACUGCAACUGACACUGAGGCUCGAAAGUGUGGGUAUCAAACAGGAUUAGAUACCCUUGUAGUC